GAAAUACUAGUUAAAAAAUAAUAGUGCCUUGUCAAGGCUUAGUUGCCUACUGGCGUAUUUCU
rnacentral:tRNA from 1 species